rnacentral:rRNA from 1 species
UUGGAGGGCAAGUCUGGUGCCAGCAGCCGCGGUAAUUCCAGCUCCAAUAGCGUAUAUUAAAGUUGCUGCAGUUAAAAAGCUCGUAGUUGAAUUUCGGGACCAAUAUGUCGGUCGUGCCUCGGUACGUACUGGCAUCGUUGGUUUCUCCCUUCUGACGAACCAUGAUGUCAUUUAUUUGGUGUCGUGGGGAAUCAGGACUGUUACUUUGAAAAAAUUAGAGUGUUUAAAGCAGGCUCACGCUUGAAUACAUUAGCAUGGAAUAAUGAAAUAGGACGUUUGAUUCUAUUUUGUUGGUUUCUAGGAUCGACGUAGUGAUUAAUAGGGAUAGUUGGGGGCAUUAGUAUUCAAUUGUCAGAGGUGAAAUUCUUGGAUUUAUUGAAGACUAACUACUGCGAAAGCAUUUGCCAAGGAUGUUUUCAUUAAUCAAGAACGAAAGUUAGGGGAUCGAAGACGAUCAGAUACCGUCGUAGUCUUAACCAUAAACUAUGCCGACUAGGAAUCGGAUGAUGUUAAUUUUUUAAUGACUCAUUCGGCGCCUUACGGGAAAC